AAUGUAGAGCCUGAAUAAAGGAUUAUCGUGAUAGGAUAAAACAUGUAAAAUUAAAUUACCUACAUUA
rnacentral:tRNA from 1 species